CGAGGGAAAUUGAAGAGAACUCCUCGACGGUUCACAGUAGCUACCUUGUGUUUGGACUUGAUAAAUUUGUAUUGAUGAGAACUUUCCACCUAGAAGGAUUGUGACUGUAUUAAGGGUCUGGUGAUGAAGACGAGGGACAUUGAAGAGAACUCCUCGACGGUUCACAGUAGCUACCUUGUGUUUGGACUUGAUAAAUUUGUAUUGAUGAGAACUUUUCACUUAGAUAGGUUGUGACUGUACACACGCAGUGGGUUUGGAGUUGAUCUGAUGAUGGAGCUGAAACACAUACGAUGGAACUCGUCAACGAUUUACAGCAGUUACCUUUUGUUUGGACUUGUUAAUUUUGUAUUGAUGAGAACUUUCCACCUAGAUGGGUUGUGACUGUAUUAAGGAUCUGGUGAUGAAGAUGAAGGACAGUAAAGAGAACUCCUGGACGGUUCACAGUAGCUACCUUGUGUUUGAACUUGUUAAUUUUGUAUUGAUGAGAACUUUCCACCUAGAUGGGUUGUGACUGUAUUAAGGGUCUGCUGGUGAAGAUGAAGGACAGUGAAGAGAACUCCUCGACGGUUCACAGUAGCUACCUUGUGUUUGGACUUGAUUAAUUUUAUGUUGAUGAGAACUUUCCACACAUAUGGGUUGUGACUGCAUAAGGGGUCUGGUGGUGAAGACGGAGGACAGUUAAGACAAUUCCUUAUUGGUUAUGAUACCUUUCACGUUUUUCUGGAUAUUCAUAUUACGUGUGGAUAAAGGGGAAGUGAAAUUUUGUAAUGAGUUAAGGAGUAUUUUCAAAAUUGGGAUUGUAGUACUUAGGUAGGUACUUAUCAUAAGAAAAUAACGUUUUAGCUAAUUGCUUUUUUUUUUUUUUAAUUCACUACUACACACAUUUAAUAGGUAUGCUAACACUAAAAAUAACAAAAUAAAUAAUAUUGAAAUAAAUACUUACAGCGCGCGGUACGUAAACAUGUGAUAGGGCUGCCUGCCUCCAGCAUUUUAAUUACAUUUGCCAACUUUGUAUUUCCAUUUAGUUUUGUGAUUGUAAAUAUACUUUUUUUAUGUAAACAAAUAAAAUAUUUUGUAAAUUGUAGUAAAAUAGGAAGUGAUCAAUAAAAUGCGUGUUGUUUUUUGAUUGGUAGAUUUAAAUAAGGCUGAUACUAUUCAAUGACCUUGAAGGAUAGGUCGUAUUCAUAUGUUUAUUUUGGUGAUGCCAUCUAGGUAUUACCUCCACACUACGUGACCAAAUAUUAAAAAACCGGUCAAGUGCGUGUCGGACCACGCGCAGUGUAGGGUUCCGUAGAUUAUGUUAGCCCAUUAAUCGCUUAUGUUUUUCUCAAUUUCAAAGCCUUUAUUAUUCCUUACAUUAUUACAUUAAACAAGUUUUUCAAUUAAUAAGAGUAACAGUUUUAAUUUUUUUUUCUAUGUUAGUAUAUUGUUAGUGUAUCUGUUUGAAGUUUAGUAUGUUAGUGGGUUAGUCUUAUUUCUAAUUAAUAAAAUCUAUUUAACUAGUAAGUUGAAAUUGAAAUUGAGGUAUAGCUCGCGUUUCGACCUCUAGUAUGAAGUCAAACUACUGCUUGCAUAUUUACUGUGACAUUGCUUAGACUAUCCACAGAUUAAAUACAUAGAAUAUUCGAUUACUGAUCGAUGUUUGGCUGUUUCGUCAAAAGAAUCGAUUCUUUUUAUAAAUUGUUUUUAUUAAAAAUUUUAUAAAAUUAAGGUUUAAAUACUUUCAAAUGAAACGUUACUCCAUCUUCUACUAAACUACAAGUUUUUGGCCGUUUUUUAUGCCAUUUAACUACACAAACCGGCAUUUUUAGGGAGCUCCUUACACGACGAAAACGAUUACAACAAUGAAACAUCGAUUCUGUAGCAACAGUUUUUAUAAACGCAUUAGAUCAUAGAUUUUUGAUCUUUGCCAGAGGGGUAACGGUUAGCGAACCACGUCCAGUUAUUAAUGGUCUAAGAUUCAAAUGAAACAGUAAAUAGUAAUUUAAAAAAAAUAGUAGGAGUAGGAGGAGACCUUUUUUAAUGUAAUUUAUAAUUAUAUGAAUAAUAAAUAUAGUGAAUAACCUAUAA